rnacentral:rRNA from 1 species
GUCCACGCCGUAAACGAUGGGUGCUAGGUGUGGGCGGUGUCGACUCCGUCCGUGCCGAAGCUAACGCAUUAAGCACCCCGCCUGGGGAGUACGGCCGCAAGGCUAAAACUCAAAGGAAUUGACGGGGGCCCGCACAAGCAGCGGAGCAUGUGGUUCAAUUCGACGCAACGCGAAGAACCUUACCGAGACUUGACAUGCACUGGAAUGUCGUAGAAAUACGCCAGCCCUUCGGGGCUAGUGCACAGGUGGUGCAUGACUGUCGU